AACUCCAAACAUUCAAAACGCA
rnacentral:miRNA from 1 species